CCUGGCUCAGGAUGAACGCUGGCGGCGUGCUUAACACAUGCAAGUCGAACGAUGAUCCGGUGCUUGCGCCGGGGAUUAGUGGCGAACGGGUGAGUAACACGUGAGUAACCUGCCCUUGACUCUGGGAUAAGCCUGGGAAACUGGGUCUAAUACCGGAUAUGACUCCUCAUCGCAUGGUGGGGGGUGGAAAGCUUUUUGUGGUUUUGGAUGGACUCGCGGCCUAUCAGCUUGUUGGUGGGGUAAUGGCCUACCAAGGCGACGACGGGUAGCCGGCCUGAGAGGGUGACCGGCCACACUGGGACUGAGACACGGCCCAGACUCCUACGGGAGGCAGCAGUGGGGAAUAUUGCACAAUGGGCGAAAGCCUGAUGCAGCGACGCCGCGUGAGGGAUGACGGCCUUCGGGUUGUAAACCUCUUUCAGUAGGGAAGAAGCCCUCUUUGGGGGUGACGGUACUUGCAGAAGAAGCGCCGGCUAACUACGUGCCAGCAGCCGCGGUAAUACGUAGGGCGCAAGCGUUAUCCGGAAUUAUUGGGCGUAAAGAGCUCGUAGGCGGUUUGUCGCGUCUGCUGUGAAAGACCGGGGCUCAACUCCGGUUCUGCAGUGGGUACGGGCAGACUAGAGUGCAGUAGGGGAGACUGGAAUUCCUGGUGUAGCGGUGAAAUGCGCAGAUAUCAGGAGGAACACCGAUGGCGAAGGCAGGUNUCUNGGC
rnacentral:rRNA from 1 species